AGUUGUACAUUACAGUAGCGAUAGUUGUGUUUUUCAUAUAUAUAUAUAUAUAUAUAUCUCAUUCGUUCAUUAUCGUUGCUACUGUAUUUUACUUACCCAUACUGUUGGUUAUUUCUUCCUGAUCCGGUGAAUACUCCUCGCCUUCUUCGGCUUGCGGUACCCACUGGGAGGGGAGACAUGUUUACAUGUUCUCACCUCCCCCACCAUUUUUCAGGUAUCGUGGGCGAUGAGUAGUGGGACGAGACGUGAGGUACGCGUGUAGCGGUCGAUAGAGCUUUCGACCCGGGUUAAUUCGGUUUACUUUUUUUACCCUUCUUAUUUUGGCUGAUGAAUAGUUUAGUGGUUUAUGUGGUUCAGUGUUUAUUUACAUUUGAAAAUGUGGAUUUCUAGAUUUUGUAAAAUAAAAGAUUUUCUACCCCUCGUGGUAGCGUUUUUAAAAGAAUAAAGGAUUCUGUAUAGGAAACAGCUUUCAAAAGAAUUUUCGUGAAUUUCUAUUUAAUCACUGAAUGUAAAACUGUGAUGUGAAUGGUGAAUGUAUGAAUGUAUAGUUAUCUUUAUAUUCAUUUGGUUGUGGUUGUUUCCUGGCUAUACUCUUGUACUUGUGCGACGCCGUGCAAAUACAGGGGAGA
rnacentral:lncRNA from 1 species